UAAGACACACAACUGAGCUGUAUAGUGUUUGUAAAUUUACUUCUAGGUGCUGAGAAACGUUCAGUUUCUGAACUUGAAGCCUUAUCCAUACAGUGUUCUGAAACUUUUACAAUCAAGUGCAGUACUGAUUAUUUUCGUUCGAUAUGUAUUCGAUCCGAUGCGGUCUGAAUUUUCAGGGUAUACGAAAUAUUUUUGUAGUGAACUGCUUUGGUAAUUUGAAUGGAAGUGGUAGUAUUUAAAUUACUUGUGUAUUUAAAACAAGAGCUGUAUCCAAUAUAUCCACAUUUAACGUGAAUUCUGUAAUUGAAUAUACCUUGGGCAUUCUCCAGCUGUACCAGUGGAUCAUAUAAUGAAACAUAAUUGACGACAUCUUGAGCCAGUAAACUAGCCCACAGGAAAAUAAAACGCAUACAUAUGUUCCUGGAAUUAAUUUUGACAGUUUUCCAGGUAAAAUGAAAAUGUCUACAAGAAAUGACUCUGGUGUCGAGAACAUUGUUGAGUCCUAUGAGGCAUUCCAAAUUCUUCAGGAGAUGUCAAAACUGUUAGAUACAGGCUUGGAUCCUGUCACACUGGCGUUCUGCAUUCGACUGAUUGAGCGUGGUGCUCAUCCUGAAGCCCUUGCCCAAGUAAUACUUGACAUCAGGAGAGAGGUGAAUGCACUGAAGGAGAAAGAAGAUACUCAUAGCAACUGAUACGUAAUAAUGCAGCUCUUAGAAAGAAAGUGAAUUUUCAGUCAUAAACAUAUUAUUACUUGUAAUGGCAGUGGCUCAGACUAACUGGCUUGGGUGCCUAUAAGACCUGGUCUCCUUCAUUGAUAAUUAAAUUAAAGCCAAUUUUUGGAAACCUACGCUCUUUUUCAAAUUGAGCAGUUAAGGGAAAUUAUUUGGAAUCCACUUAAAAGUGUGCCUCCCCCCCCCCCCCCCCCCUCCUGAACAGUUUUUUUUAUGUCAAAGCUGUGCUCUUUGAAUACCUCGUAAAUUACUUUUGUGUCUCGUGAAAGACUAUAAAGGUACAAAAUUGUCUUUAAGUAAAGUAAACAUGGGAACUAAGUGUUCCAUUUAUUACGUUAAGUAACAGCAAGGUUGUAUUACUUUAUACAAUGCAUGUAUGACUCGACAGUGAUGUAAUCCUGGUUUGUAUAGCUUGAUUUUAGUGACUUUAUGUGCAGAUCUGCAAAAUACUAAAAAUUAUUUUAGUAAAGCAAUGUAAAUAAUUAAUAACAAUGUAAAUCCGAACAAAAACCUUCAAACCUAAAAUAAUGUAUAAAAAUGGUGUGAUUUAGAUAUUAAAAAUUGUUUCCAGUAUGUAUUUGUGGCCACGUGCCACUAAUUAGAAUGGAAA